ACAGUUCCCACACUGCAGUGCCUCUGGUGAGGAGACAGCGCCACUGAGGCCUCCUCUGAACUCCCAAAAUGUGACCUAUGCCAUCACCGAGGCCGCAGGAACAAGAGGUGGGUGUCCAUGACAUUGGUACCUGUCAUCCCUGUGUGCAGCAGGUGUGCCCCACCCUGGAGGCAGCAGAAGAAGAUGGACAAGAGCCUAGAAGAUCCCAGCCUUGCCACUGGGUAUGAGCACAGGACAGGGGGACGCUCAAUGCUAAGGCUGCCAGAGAAAAUACAGGACUUCCGGUUAAAUUUGAAUUUCAAAUAAACAAGUAAUUUUUAAAGUA
rnacentral:lncRNA from 1 species